GACGAACGCUGGCGGCGUGCUUAACACAUGCAAGUCGAACGAUGAACCUCAAAAUGAUUUCUUCGGAAAGAUUUUUGAGAGGAUUAGUGGCGAACGGGUGAGUAACGCGUGAGCAACCUGCCUUAGACAAGGGGAUAGCCUCGGGAAACCGUGAUUAAUACCCUAUGAGACUCCACUUACGAGUGUAAGAGAAGUUAAAGCUAUUGCGGUCUAAGAUGGGCUCGCGUCUGAUUAGCUAGUUGGUGAGAUAAAAGCCCACCAAGGCGACGAUCAGUAACCGGCUUGAGAGAGUGAACGGUCACAUUGGAACUGAGACACGGUCCAAACUCCUACGGGAGGCAGCAGUGGGGAAUAUUGCACAAUGGGGGCAACCCUGAUGCAGCGACGCCGCGUGAGCGAUGAAGGAAUUCGUUUCGUAAAGCUCUGUCCUUGGAGAAGAUAAUGACGGUAACCAAGGAGGAAGCACCGGCUAAAUACGUG
rnacentral:rRNA from 1 species